CGGAUGCGAUCAUGCCAGCACUAAAGCACCGGAUCCCAUCAGAACUCCGAAGUUAAGCGUGCUUGGGCGAGAGUAGUACUAGGAUGG
rnacentral:rRNA from 1 species